rnacentral:rRNA from 1 species
AUGGAUCCGAGCUCGUGCGCCGCUGCUCCUCCCACCAUGCCGAGCUCGCACGCCACCGCCGUCGGUGCCACCAACUGGCCGCCCCUCGUCAGUCCGUGUGUUCCAUCCACACCAAAAUCACCGUCCCCGGCUUCCCAUGGAUCCGUGUGUGCCGCCGCCCACCAGAAGGAUGCUCUCAUGCUCCCCGAUGCCGCUUUCCUUAAGCAUUCGUGCGCUCCAAAAGUCAACGCGACACAGUUUCUUCCUCCAGCAACACCUCCUACAAGCACCAGCGGUUCUGAGGGUACCCGGCGACAGCGGGUAGGCGGCAAGUGUAUUGGUGAGCAGCUACCCAGAAAAUACUGGAACAUCGCUUCCAAAGUAAGCUCCUUGCUUCUUGCUUCUCUUUAA